rnacentral:misc_RNA from 1 species
CCGUGAAUCAUGAACUUAGCCUCACUUUAUCUUCAAAUCAAAAUAUUAAGUGCUACAGAAACGUUAUGAAUAUUGAUUAUCAGUGGAUUUUGAUAAUUAAAAUUGGAAAAUCUAGGUAUUUCUAACCAAGUGUUGUAGCCUUAAUUUAUCUUCAAAAAAACAUUUCCAUGCUCAAAGCUUCAGCCUCCAAUAAUUUCCCUUUCCUUAGCUUUACAGAUAUCUUCUACUGACUUGACAUACUUUUUUGUCAACUCAUCAACCUCUUUCUCUAAUCUCUUGAUAUCAUCCUUAGAAAAACUUGAACCUGCUUUUUUUAUUGUAUCUAUUGCCUUCUGGCGAGCCCUUCUUAUACUUUGUUUAACGUCUUCACAAGACUUGGAGACCACCUUACAAAUAGCCUGCAUAUGCUCUUUGGUUAAUGGUGGUAUAGAUGCAAUUAAUCGUUCCCCAUCCACUCUAGGAUUUAAACCCAACGGUGAAGAAACAAUGGCCUUCUCUAGUGCCUUGAUGGUGUUUGGAUCAUAUGGAUUCACAGAUAGGGUUUUAGGAUCCAUAACUGCAACAAC